CCUACGGGAGGCAGCAGUGGGGAAUAUUGCACAAUGGGGGAAACCCUGAUGCAGCGACGCCGCGUGAGUGAAGAAGUAUUUCGGUAUGUAAAGCUCUAUCAGCAGGGAAGAAAAUGACGGUACCUGAUUAAGAAGCCACGGCUAACUACGUGCCAGCAGCCGCGGUAAUACGUAGGGGGCAAGCGUUAUCCGGAUUUACUGGGUGGAAAGGGAGCGUAGACGGCAGCACAAGUCUGGAGUUAAAUGCAGGGGCUUAACCCCGGAACUGCAUUGGAAACUGUGGAGCGAGAGUGCAGGAGAGGUAAGUGGAAUUCCUAGUGUAGCGGUGAAAUGCGUAGAUAUUAGGAGGAACACCAGUGGCGAAGGCGGCUUACUGGACUGUAACUGACGUUGAGGCUCGAAAGCGUGGGGAGCAAACAGGAUUAGAUACCCGUGUAGUC
rnacentral:rRNA from 1 species